CAGUGCCCCAACGGGGCCCUAGUUUCUUUUUCCUCCCCUUUGAACUGGAAAAUGGCCCACUUCCCACUGGCGAAAACUCAUGAAAUUUGGCAGGACGACCGGGCCUUGUGAAAAAUUCGAUAUUCUGAAGUCGCCCAAACAAUAAAAUGCAAAAUGGCUCCAUAGCGCCCCCUAAGGUGGAAAUUCACACUAUUGACUGUCACGCCUGUACGCUUUGUCAUAUUGACACAAAAAUUGACACACAUAUGUAUCUCAAUAAGAUCUACGAAAAAGUCAAUGCGCGCGUAUCUGUCAAAAUUACGGUUAAAGGGUUAUUUCGCAUUUUUUGCCGAUCCGCACACAUUGGAAUUUCGCUAACUCCUCCGAAGGCUUUCGUUCCACCGGCACCACAUUUGCUCAGGCCAAUCUACACCCCGUGGCCAUUAAAAGUUAUCAAAAUCAUGACGCUGCACCCCAAGGUUUAGGUUCUAGGGGGCGCCAAAGAUAACACUAAAAUCCACAUAUUUAAAAGUCUUAUAACUUUUUAUUUUUGUCCUCACUGGCCUCCAAGUUUUCUAGGAUGAUGCAAUGUCCAGCCAUCAACACAUUUGUGAAGGAAUUUUUACUCCCCAAAAGAGCGCCCCCCCAUGGCAGGAGAAAAAAGUCCAUUUUUUCUUGUCCCCUAAGGUGAAAAUACACAUUGUUGAGUGUCACGCCUAUACGCUUUGUCAAAAUGACACAAAAAUUGACACACACAUGUAACUCAAUAAGAUCUACGAAAAAGUCAAUGCGCGCGUAUCUGUCAAAUGUACGGUUAAAGGGUUAUUCCGCAUUUUUUGCCAAUCCGCACACAUUGGAAUUUCGCUAACUCCUCCGAAGGCUUUCUGUCCACCGGCACCACAUUUGCUCAGGCCAAUCUACACCCCAUGGCCAUUAAAAGUUAUUCAAAUCAUGACGCUGCACCCCACGGUUUAGGUUCUAGGGGGCGCCAAAGACAACCCUAAAAUCCACAUAUUUAAAAGUCUUAUAACUUUUUAUUUUUGUCCUCACUGGCCUCCAUGUUUUCUAGGAUGAUGCAAUGUCCAGCCAUCAACACAUUUGUGAAGGAGUUUUUUCUCGUUAAAAGAGCGCCCCCCCGUGGCAGGAGAAUAAAGUCAAGUUUUUCCUGUUCAUCAUUCAAUGGCUCAAACGCACUGCUCUCUCGGCAAAAGCGAAAGGAGGAGCAACUUGCCAUUUGGAUAUAUCUUAGCUGUCUUUGUGCCCUCACUCAUGGUCCAGACUUUUUUCAAAUAGGACAUGGAGUUUUUCUGCAGCGAGCGUUUUGGUAGAAACUGCGCCUCCCGUUCAUUAUAAUGGUAAAUGACCACAAACAAGUGCGCACACCAUCUUUGGACCUUGAGUGUGACGCGAUCGGGUGGGGGAGGCGGUCGCGCUUGGGGCGGCGUGACACGGCUCGGGCCCGCCAGUGCCCCAACGGGGCCCUAGUUAGGGCCCGAGCGUAGCUGCUAAGCAGCUGCGAGAGCCCUCUUGUUCCUGAUGGAUUCUUCUUUCGUUAUUUUUCCUCCGCUUUAAACUGGAAAAUGGCCCACUUCCCACUGGCGAAAACUCAGGAAAUUUGGAAGGACGACCGGGCCUGGUGAAAAAUUUGAUAUUCUGAAGUCGCCCAAACAAAAAAAUGAAAAAUGGCUGCAUAGCGCCCCCUAUGGUGAAAACUCACCUGACGCCUGUACACUUUGUCAAAAUGACACAAAAUUUGACACACAUGUGUAUCUCAAUAAGAUCUACAAAAAAGUCAGUGCGGACGUAUCUGUCAAAUGUACCGUUAAAGGGCUAUUUCGCAUUUUUUGCCGAUCCGCACACAUUGGAAUUUCGCUAACUCCUCCGAAGGCUUUCGUUCCACCGGCACCACAUUUGCUCAGGCCAAUCUACACCCCAUGGCCAUUAAAAGUUGUACAAAUCAUGAUGCUGCACCCCACGGUUUACGUUCUAGGGGGCGCCAAAGAUAACCCAAAAAUCCACAUUCUUAAAAGUCUUAUAACUUUUUAUUUUUGUCCUCACUGGCCUCCAAGUUUUCUAGGAUGAUGCCAUGUCAAGCCAUCAACACAUUUGUGAAGGAAUUUUUACUCCCCAAAAGAGCGCCCCCCAUGGCAGGAGAAAAAAGUCAAGUUUUUCUUGUCCCCUAACAUGAAAAUACACAUUGUUGAGUGUCACGCCUAAACGCUUUGUCAUAUUGACAAAACAUUUGACAAUCACGUGUAUCUCAAUAAGAUCUACAAAAAAGUCAUAGAGCGCGUAUCUGUAUAAUGUACGGUUAAAGGGCUAUUUUGCAUUUUUUGCCGAUCCGCACACAUUGGAAUUUCGCUAACUCCUCCGAAGGCUUUCGUUCCACCGGCACCAAAUUUGCUCAGGCC